CCUACGGGAGGCUGCAGUAGGGAAUAUUGCUCAAUGGGGGAAACCCUGAAGCAGCAACGCAGCGUGGAGGAUGAAGGUUUUCGGAUUGUAAACUCCUUUUGUUAGAGAAGAUAAUGACGGUAUCUAACGAAUAAGCACCGGCUAACUCCGUGCCCGCAGCCGCGGUUAUACGGCGGGUGCAAGCGUUACUCAGAAUAACUGGGCGUAAAGCGCGCGUAGGCGGGAUAGCAAGUCAGAUGUGAAAUCCUAUGGCUUAACCAUAGAACUGCAUUUGAAACUGUUAUUCUAGAGUAUGGGAGAGGUAGGUGGAAUUCUUGGUGUAGGGGUAAAAUCCGUAGAGAUCAAGAGGAAUACUCAUUGCGAAGGCGACCUGCUAGAACAUGACUGACGCUGAUGCGCGAAAGCGUGGGGAGCAAACAGGAUUAGAUACCCUAGUAGUC
rnacentral:rRNA from 1 species